rnacentral:lncRNA from 1 species
GGGACCUUCCUGUGGGGGCACAAAUCUUGUCCUGUCACUGGAGGAUGCACACAGCUCAUGGAGACCACGUCAACCACCGGCCUAAGGAAAGCAGCGGGAAAGCUAAAGUGUGACGCGGCUUAAGCAGCUUGUCUGAGUUUGCACAGCUGGCAAAUGGCUGAGCCAUGACUCACACCCAGGUCCAUCCACCGCCAAAGCUCCAGAUCUCUGGCAUCCUUCUAAGGUCAGAAAGGGAAAGAAAUCCCUAAUAAGGAGCCUGUGUGACGGCGUGCCCCCCUCCACUUUCCCACCCCUGCCAAGGACCCGUUUGAAGGCUGUUCACGCCAGUCACUGCAAUCACCAUUGAGCACAGAGAUGACAGUUCCAGCAAGCACUGACCUUCCAGCCCACUCUGCGGAGGAGAAGACUGAGGGGCAGAGAGGCUGUUGAUUUGCUGCAGUUGACUCUGACCCUAAUUUCCCGGCGCUGACUCAAACUCAUCAGGAACACUGCUUUCACUGAGUGUAUGAAGUGGUUUCUCCAUCCGUGUGGCUUUACCUGAACUCACACCGGUCCCACGGCCCAGGUGUGGAGCCGAGCACUCCCCUCUGCCUCCUCCCUGGACUGCAGGACCUGUGUCUCGCUUUAUGAAAGAGAUGCCAUUUGGGGAAGACUCGCAUUGUCGGGAGCGCUGUGGACGCUCCAGAAGGAGAUCAACACGAUGAUGACGAUGCCGG